rnacentral:rRNA from 1 species
UACGGGGGGGGCGAGCGUUGUUCGGAAUUACUGGGCGUAAAGGGCGCGUAGGCGGUUCGCUAAGUUGGAUGUGAAAACUCUGGGCUCAACCCAGAGCCUGCAUCCAAAACUGGCGGGCUAGAGUUCUGGAGGGGGUAGCGGAAUUCCUGGUGUAGCGGUGAAAUGCGUAGAUAUCAGGAGGAACACCGGUGGCGAAGGCGGCAUCCUGGACCAUUACUGACACUGAAAAGCGAAAGCCAGGGGAGCAAACGGG